rnacentral:rRNA from 1 species
AUUGAACGCUGGCGGCAUGCUUUACACAUGCAAGUCGGACGAGUGGCGAACGGGUGAGUAACGCAUCGGAACGUCCCGUGUAAUGGGGGAUAACUGUCCGAACGGACAGCUAAUACCGCAUAUUAUUCGAGCGGCCGAUGUCUGAUUAGCCGGUUGCCGGGGUAAAGGCUCACCAAGGCGACGAUCAGUAGCGGGUCUGAGAGGGUGAUCGGCCACACUGGGACUGAGACACGGCCCAGACUCCUACGGGAGGCAGCAGUGGGGAAUUUUGGACAAUGGGCGCAAGCCUGACCCAGCCAUGCCGCGUGUCUGAUGAAGGCCUUCGGGUUGUAAAGGACUUUUGUCAGGGAAGCGGUACCUGAAGAGUAAGCACCGGCUAACUACGUGCCAGCAGCCGCGGUAAUAC